rnacentral:rRNA from 1 species
GCAAAGGUAGCGCAAUCACUUGUCUUUUAAAUGAAGACCCGUAUGAAUGGUUAAACGAGGGCCUAACUGUCUCCCUGUUCUAGUCAAUGAAAUUGAUCUGCCCGUGCAGAAGCGGACAUAAAUAUACAAGACGAGAAGACCCUUUGGAGCUUAAGAUAAAAGACCAACUAUGUCAAUAACCCCUAUAGAGACUAAACUAAAUAACCACUGGUCCAAAUCUUCGGUUGGGGCGACCACGGGAAAAAACGAAACUCCCAUGUAGAAAGGGAAACACCCCUAAAACUAAGAGAGACAUCUCUAAGAAACAGAACUUCUGACUAUUAAGAUCCGGCCACAUGCCGACCAACGAACCAAGUUACCCAAGGGAUAACAGCGCAAUCCCCUUCCAGAGUCCAUAUCGACAAGGGGGUUUACGACCUCGAU